GAAGCAACGCGCAGAACCCUACCAGCCCUUGACAUCCCGAUCNCGGAUUACGGAGACGUUUUCCUUCNGUUCGGCUGGAUCGGAGACAGGUGCUGCAUGGCUGUCGUCAGCUCGUGUCGUGAGAUGUUGGGUUAAGUCCCGCAACGAGCGCAACCCUCGCCCUUAGUUGCCAGCAUUUAGUUGGGCACUCUAAGGGGACUGCCGGUGAUAAGCCGAGAGGAAGGUGGGGAUGACGUCAAGUCCUCAUGGCCCUUACGGGCUGGGCUACACACGUGCUACAAUGGUGGUGACAGUGGNCAGCGAGNCCGNGAGGUCGAGNUAAUCUCCAAAANCCAUCUCAGUUCGGAUUGCACUCUGCAACCUCGAGUGCAUGAAG
rnacentral:rRNA from 1 species